AACGAACGCUGGCGGUAUGCUUAACACAUGCAAGUCGAACGAACAAAGCCUAGCUUGCUAGGCCUAGUUAGUGGCAAACGGGUGAGUAACGCGUGGGAAUCUACCCAGUAGUACGGAAUAACAGUUGGAAACGACUGCUAAUACCGUAUAGUAUCGAGAGAGUAAAGAUUUAUCGCUACUGGAUGAGCCCGCGGAAGAUUAGGUAGUUGGUGGGGUAAUGGCCUACCAAGCCGAAGAUCUGUAGCUGGUCGGAGGGGAUGACAAGCCACACUGGAACUGAGACACGGUCAAGACUCCUACGGGAGGCAGCAGUGAGGAAUAUUGGACAGUGGGGAAAAGCCUGAUCCAGCAAUACCGCGUGAGUGAAGAAGGCCUAGGGUUGUAAAGCUCUUUCAGCAGGGAAAAUAACUGACGGUACCCUUGGAGGAAGCCCCGGCUAACUACGUGCCAGCCGCCGCCGUAA
rnacentral:rRNA from 1 species